GAUGAACGCUCGCGAUAGGCUUAACACAUGCAAGUCGAGGGACCGGCGCACGGGUGCGUAACGCGUAUGCAACUUGCCUCACAGAGGGGGAUAACCCGUCGACAGACGGACUAAUACCGCGUACUGUGAGAUAGGCAUGCGUCCCAUUAGGUAGUUGGUGAGGUAACGGCUCACAAAGGCAACGAUGGCGAGGGUAACUGAGAGGGUGAAACCCCAAACUGGUACUGCGACCCGUAACAGACUCGUACUGGAGGCAGGAGUGAGGAAUAGUGGUCAGUGGGCGAGAGCCUGAAACAGCCGAGUCGCGUGAAGGAUGACUGUCGAUGGAUUGUAAACUUCUUUUUUAGGGGAAUAUGUACCCUACGAAUAAGCAUCGGCUAACUCCGUGCCAGCCGCCGCGGUAAUAC
rnacentral:rRNA from 1 species